GUCUGUUGGUCUGUUGGUUGGUCUGUUGGUCUGUUGUUUGGUUUGCGCCAACUUUAACAUUUGCAUUAACUUUUGCAAUAUUGAAGAUAGCAACUUGAUAUUUGGCAUGCAUAUGUAUCUCAUGGAGCUGCACAUUUUGAGUGGUGAAAGGUCAAGGUCAAGGUCAUCCUUCAAGGUCAAAGGUCAAAUACAUGGGUCAAAAUCGCUCAUUUAAUGUACACUUUUGCAGUAUUUCAAUAUUCAAGAUAGCAACUUGAUAUUUGGCAUGCAUGUGUAUCUCAUGAAGCUGCACAUUUUGAGUGGUGAAAGGUCAAGGUCAUCCUUCAAGGUCAGAGGUCAAAUAUAUGUGGCCAAAAUCGCUCAUUUUAUGAGUACUUUUGCAAUAUUGAAGAUAGCAACUUGAUAUUUGGCAUGCAUGUGUAUCUCAUGGAGCUGCACAUUUUGAGUGGUGAAAGGUCAAGGUCAUCCUUCAAGGUCAGAGGUCAAAUAUAUGUGGCCCAAUCGCUUAUUUUAUGAAUACUUUUGCAAUAUUGAAGAUAGCAACUUGAUAUUUGGCAUGCAUGUGUAUCUCAUGGAGCUGCACAUUUUGAGUGGUGAAAGGUCAAGGUCAUCCUUCAAGGUCAAAUAUAUGGGUCAAAAUUGCUCAUGUAAUGUCACUGUUGCAAUAUUGAAGCUAGCAAUUUUAUAUUUGAAAUGCAUGUGUAUCUCAUGGAGCUGCACAUUUUGAGUGGUGAAGGGUCAAGGUCAAGGUCAUCCUUCAAGGUCAAACAUCAUAUAGGGGUCAAGGUCAUCCUUCAAGGUCAAACAUCAUAUAGGGGGACAUUGUGUUUC